GAAGAGUUUGAUCAUGGCUCAGAUUGAACGCUGGCGGCAGGCUUAACACAUGCAAGUCGAGCGGAAACGAUGGGAGCUUGCUCCCAGGCGUCGAGCGGCGGACGGGUGAGUAACGCGUAGGAAUCUACCCAGUAGCGGGGGAUAGCCCGGGGAAACUCGGAUUAAUACCGCAUACGCCCUAUGGGGGAAAGCAGGGGAUCUUCGGACCUUGCACUAUUGGAUGAGCCUGCGUGAGAUUAGCUUGUUGGUGGGGUAACGGCCUACCAAGGCGACGAUCUCUAGCUGGUCUGAGAGGAUGAUCAGCCACACUGGGACUGAGACACGGCCCAGACUCCUACGGGAGGCAGCAGUGGGGAAUAUUGGACAAUGGGGGCAACCCUGAUCCAGCAAUGCCGCGUGUGUGAUGAAGGCCCUAGGGUUGUAAAGCACUUUCGCCGGUGACGAUGAUGACGGUAACCGGAUAAGAAGCCCCGGCUAACUCCGUGCCAGCAGCCGCGGUAAUACGGAGG
rnacentral:rRNA from 1 species